rnacentral:rRNA from 1 species
ACGUAUCCAACCUGCCGAUCGUACUCGGGGAUAGCCUUUCGAAAGAAAGAUUAAUACCCGAUGGCAUAGUUCUUCCGCAUGGUGGAACUAUUAAAGAAUUUCGGUCAUCGAUGGGGAUGCGUUCCAUUAGGUUGUUGGCGGGGUAACGGCCCACCAAGCCUUCGAUGGAUAGGGGUUCUGAGAGGAAGGUCCCCCACAUUGGAACUGAGACACGGUCCAAACUCCUACGGGAGGCAGCAUG